GAAAUGCGAUAAGUAAUGUGAAUUGCAGAAUUCAGUGAAUCAUCGAAUCUUUGAACGCACCUUGCGCUCCUUGGUAUUCCUUGGAGCAUGCCUGUUUGAGUAUCAUGAAAUCUUCAAAGUAAAUCUUUUGUUAACUCAAUUGGUUUCUACUUUGGUAUUGGAGGUCUUUGCAGCUUCACACCUGCUCCUCUUUGUUCAUUAGCUGGAUCUCAGUGUUAUGCUUGGUUCCACUCGGCGUGAUAAGUUAUCUAUCGCUGAGGACACUGUAAAAGGUGGCCAAGGUAAAUGCAGAUGAACCGCUUCUAAUAGUCCAUUGACUUGGACAAUACUUUUAUGAUCUGAUCUCAAAUCAGGUAGGACUCCCCGCUGAACUUAAGCA
rnacentral:misc_RNA from 1 species